ensembl:misc_RNA Metazoa_SRP Metazoan signal recognition particle RNA
GCCAGGCAUGGUGGUGCAUGCUUAUAGUUCCAGCUACUCAGAAGGCUGAGGCAGGAGGACUGCUUGAGCCCAGGAAUUCAAGGCUGCAGUGAGUUAUGAUUGAACCACUGCACUCCAGCCUGGGUGACAGAGUGAGACCCUGUCUCAU